rnacentral:rRNA from 1 species
AGUAACACGUGGGUAACCUGCCUCAUAGAGUGGAAUAGCCUUCCGAAAGGAAGAUUAAUACCGCAUAACGUUGAAAGAUGGCAUCAUCAUUUAACCAAAGGAGCAAUCCGCUAUGAGAUGGACCCGCGGCGCAUUAGCUAGUUGGUGGGGUAACGGCCUACCAAGGCGACGAUGCGUAGCCGACCUGAGAGGGUGAUCGGCCACAUUGGGACUGAGACACGGCCCAG